CUCACUCGAGGCAAGGCGGGUCGUUUUUUUGAAUAGAUGCCGAUUCCCCCCUUACUUCACGUUUUCGGAAGGAGCACAGAAUCCACGGCUACAUUCGCAGAAAAUGACACGUUUGAUCCUGCACUCCACCUCCCAAGUUGUCAUCGGAAUGUUUUGCGGCACGACCUCCGAACCACCUGUUGAUAUUUCUUUCCAAAUUUAAAAAUAUUUUGACCUCACACACAUUCAAGGUAAGUUCAUAAUCUAUAAAUAGACAUUCUGAUGCAUUCCAGAGAUCAAUUUCACCUUAUUUCCCAAUUCCUUUCGUCACUCACCCCACAAAUUUCGCUGCAUGGCUCAUUUUCGAAGCGCUUGCCCAUUUCCUUGAAAUGUUAAAAAUAUCUCUACCUCACUCAGGCUCAAGAAAAGUUCACGUUUUGGUAAGUAGAAACCCUGAAUCCAGAAAUGAAUUUCACCUUACUCACUCCAUUUUUUGUUCACAUAAUGGACACAUUUUGGAAAUACUGCUCCUGUCCUAAGCAGUCUUACAUGCGAAAUUUGUACUAAAAAUAUUUCAACCCCACUCAGGCCAAGGGCGUAUCAUCUCUCCGAACCACCUGCCGAUGUUUCUUUCCAAUGUUCAAAAUAUUUUUACCUCACACACAUUCAAGGAUUCCAUUUGUGCAGCCCAAGUCUAUAAAAGAGAGAGGUCAAACAACAGCAAUGAUGCCUGAGGUGCCUGUUUGCCCCACAUGAACACCAACAGUGUAAAACUAUCAACUUUGAGGACUACGAAUCAGUCAAGAUUAUUCGUAAUAGUGAAAGCGGCACACUUCAUCGGGUGACACCUCUAGAGUGAACACCGCAAAUUAUAGGACUUCAUAUGUUCCUGUCAUCCACUACAAUGGUCCAAGUGUUUCACAAUGUAGGCAACGUGCAAGAAAAAAAAUGACCAUUGGCGGCCUGCAAAGGCGUGACAGUUAGUCAGUUGUAACGGCAGUGGCCACGCGUGGAGCCAGAAAUGUGCGCUCGCUUGUAUGUUGAGGAAGCCAUCUCCUCCUGAUGGUCCUGAGGUUGAGGAAGUCUCCUCUACUAGAGGAGUAAGAACACACCAUGUGACGCCAUCGAGAACAUUCCACCUCUCCAGCAUCCUUUCCGUCCUGUGCGAGUAUCACCGUCUCUGUCGUGAGAAACACUGUAGGGGCACAGAGUCUUGGUAGCACCCAUCUAAGCCCUACACAGCCACAUCCCCCAUUCCCUGACACACUUCCUUUGCCAGCAGCAACAUUAGCAAGGGUGAAGCAAGUUCCUUAACUGGCUUAAAACUGUACUACAAUGCAACUUCAGCUACUGUGCAAUAAAUCCUCGACUCCAAUGACUAACGCGUCUAUCUACAAGACAACUUUAGCCCCACACCAUUACAUUGUUGAUUGGUAUGAGUUAAGGAAUCCUAAUUGAAUUUUUUAGUGUACCGGAUUCAGUGUGCAGAGAAACUGUUGUCUAAGAUUGUGAAAUGUAAAAACAUGUGUAUAGUUCAAAAUAAAUGAUAUACAAUGUGAAAA